UUGAUGAGCGCCAAUCAGGAAAAUAGCAAAUAAAUAAAGAUGUACGUAUCUACAUAUAUGCAUGGGUGUAUAUGUAUGUAAGCAUACGUAUGUAUGAUUGUCAAAAGCGAGCCCCCCCAAUGUGGCCCCACAUGAAAUGCUUCGGACCAAAGGCGUAGGCGGGAAGUCUCUUAAAGGGGGGAUUAUAAUAGAAAGAUGUCAUAAAAUAACUUAAGGGAAUGUACAAAAUAGCAUAAAGAAUCCUAGACUGAUGUAAAACAUAGCAGAGCUGGGAAGUGUGGCUUAUCAGUGAUGGAUCUUUAUCCACAAUAUAGAUCCCCCUUUUGCUACGCCCCUGUCUCUUGCGAACACACACUUAUACACAACACAGAUCAGUCUACACAUGGACAUGGGGAUGGAUGUGAAGGCUUUCGGGCGCGGAACGGCACUCACAUCGUAGUACUCGCACUGGACCCCAUUUCCAAUAACUGUACCGGUAGCGUGUGGCAUUUAAAAUGCAAAAAAAAAA